UACACUCCUGCGGGAGGCAGCAGUGGGGAAUCUUGCGCAAUGGGCGAAAGCCUGACGCAGCCAUGCCGCGUGAAUGAUGAAGGUCUUAGGAUUGUAAAAUUCUUUCACCGGGGACGAUAAUGACGGUACCCGGAGAAGAAGCCCCGGCUAACUUCGUGCCAGCAGCCGCGGUAAUACGAAGGGGGCUAGCGUUGCUCGGAAUUACUGGGCGUAAAGGGAGCGUAGGCGGACAUUUAAGUCAGGGGUGAAAUCCCGGGGCUCAACCUCGGAAUUGCCUUUGAUACUGGGUGUCUUGAGUAUGAGAGAGGUGUGUGGAACUCCGAGUGUAGAGGUGAAAUUCGUAGAUAUUCGGAAGAACACCAGUGGCGAAGGCGACACACUGGCUCAUUACUGACGCUGAGGCUCGAAAGCGUGGGGAGCAAACAGGAUUAGAAACCCCUGUAGUCCCAUGAU
rnacentral:rRNA from 1 species